UACGGAGGAUGCGAGCGUUAUCCGGAUUUAUUGGGUUUUAAAGGGAGCGUAGGCGGUCUGUUUAAGUCAGCGGUAAAAUUGCGGGGCUCAACCCCGUCGAGCCGUUGAAACUGGCAGACUUGAGUUGGCGAGAAGUACGCGGAAUGCGCGGUGUAGCGGUGAAAUGCAUAGAUAUCGCGCAGAACUCCGAUUGCGAAGGCAGCGUACCGGUGCCAGACUGACGCUGAGGCACGAAAGCGUGGGGAUCGAACAGG
rnacentral:rRNA from 1 species